CACGGGUGAGUAACACGUAUCCAACCUGCCGUCUACUCUUGGACAGCCUUCUGAAAGGAAGAUUAAUACAAGAUGGCAUCAUGAGUCCGCAUGUUCACAUGAUUAAAGGUAUUCCGGUAGACGAUGGGGAUGCGUUCCAUUAGAUAGUAGGCGGGGUAACGGCCCACCUAGUCUUCGAUGGAUAGGGGUUCUGAGAGGAAGGUCCCCCACAUUGGAACUGAGACACGGCCCAGACUCCUACGGGAGGCAGCAUG
rnacentral:rRNA from 1 species